UCGCCUGUUUAUCAAAAACAUAGCCAUUAGUAAUUAUUAUUGGUGAUUUYUGCUCAAUGAAAUUUAAAUAGCCGCAGUACCCUGACUGUGCAAAGGUAGCAUAAUAAAUUGGCUUAUAAUUAAAGUCUAGUAUGAAUGAAAUAAUGGAGAAUAACUGUAUCUUAAAUGUUGAAUGAAAUUACUGAGCAUGUGAAAAUUCGUGCAGUUAAUUAAUAGACGAGAAGACCCUAGAAAUUUUAAGAAUUCGUAAACAUGGUUUUUGUUGGGGCAACAGUGUAACAAGUAACUUACUUUUAAUUUUACAAGAAAUACAAUUGGUAGAAUAAAUUACUCUAGGGAUAACAGCGUAAUGUAUUAACGAUUGCGACCUCGAUGCACAGUCAGGGUACUGCGG
rnacentral:rRNA from 1 species